rnacentral:lncRNA from 1 species
AGUUCCAACAAUGGAGGAGUGUUCCUCUUUCUCCACAUUCUCGCCAGCAUCUGCUGUCACCUGAGUUUUUGAUCUUAGCCAUUCUGACUGGUGUAAGAUGGAAUCUCAGGGUUGUUUUGAUUUGCAUUUCCCUGUUGAACAUUUCUUUAGGUGCUUCUUGGCCAUUCGAUAUUCUUCAGUUGAGAAUUCUUUAGCUCUGUACUCCAUUUUUAAAAUAGAGUUAUUUGGUUCUCUGGAGUCUAACUUCUUGAGUUCUUUGUAUAUAUUGGGUAUUAACCCUCUAUCGGAUAUAGAAUUGGUAAAGAUCUUUCCCCAAUCUGUUGGUUGCCAUUUUUUCCUAUUAACAGUGUCCUUUGCCUUACAGAAGCUUUAGUUUAUUGUUUUUAAACGUUACAUAAAUUCUUAAUGUUGGAGGAAUAUUAGAAAUUAACUUUUUUAUUUUUUAUUAUUUGUGUGUGUUUGAGUGUUUUGCCUGGAUGAAUCCAUAUCAUGUGUAUACCUGGUGCCUGUGGAAGUUUGAAGUGGAAAAUAGUAUCAGAUUUCUUGUAACUGGGGUCAUAAAUAGCACCAUGUGGGUGCUGAGAAUUGAACUGAAAUCCUCUGCAAGAGCGACAAGUGCUGUCAGCAACUAAGUCAUGUCUCUAGCCCUGAAAUUAUCUGGUUAAGUGAUCUGGUGAUCAGAAUUAUAAGAAGGUAAUUUUUGUUAAUAUUUUAAAAUAAUUUAGAACUACAAAUCUUUCUUAAGUGAAUCCUCAGGCAUUCUAUAUUAACCACUGUAGUUAUUUCUAAUCUAGUUUUAUAUUCAAGAAGGUUUUUCAUUGCAGCAAAAGGAAAUGGUUUAUCUUUGCAAUAAGAUAUGCAACUUAUAAAAGAAAAUAUUUGGGUCUGGAGAUGGCUCAGGGGUUAAGAGCACUGACUGCUCUUCUGAAGGUCCUGAGUUCAAAUCCCAGCAACCACAUGGUGGCUCACAACCAUCUGUAAUGAGAUCUGACGCCCUCUUCUGGCGUGUCUGAAGACAGCUACAGUGUACUUAUUUAUAAUAAUACAAAAAUCUUUAAAAAAAGAAAACAUUUGAUUGGAGACUUGUUUAUAGUUUCAGAAUGUUAAUCUAUGAUCAUCUCCAUGGAGAGCAUGGUGGUUGGCAAGUAGGCCUGGCACUUGAGUAGUAACUAAGAGCUUACAUUCUGAUCCAGUGGUAGUAGAGAUAGAUGAUAGAUAGAUAGAUAGAUAGAUAGAUAGAUAGAUAGAUAGAUAGAUAGGUGAUAGUUAGAUCCUGAGCCUGGCUUGGCCUUUUGAAACCUCAGGUCCCCUUCCCUGCCACUGACACACCUUCUUCAACAAGGCCACACCUUCUAAUCCUUCCCAAACAGUUCCACUAAUUGGGGAUGACAUAAUCAAACAUAUGAGCUUAUGGGGUCAUUCUCAUUCAAAUGAAAACACCGCAGGCUUCAAAACUAACAAUUACAUUUUUAGAGAAUUGUCAUGGUAAAGUAUUUCAGAAAAAUAUAAUGAAAGCAAGAGAAAUAUAGACAGAUAAUAUUUUAGUUAUCAUCGACCACUUCCAAAUUUAAAAAAAAUGUGAUGCUAAUAUGAUUUAGAAAUUUGAAAAUGGCUAUAAAAGAAGUGCUGUAAAUAAAUAGAUUUUCACAUAAAAAUAAAUGAUUGUUCAUUUCUGCAAUAACAUUAAUGUAUUUAAUAUUUCUACUGUGUGAGAGUUAGAGAUCUGUGUGUUGAAGAUACAGCAAUGAACAAGGAGAAAGCUCCAUGUUCAUGAAGUUUGUAUUCUGUGUGGAAUAAAGAAAAUAGUAAAAAUGAACAAGAAAACUAGAUACGAUAUUAAAUGGUCCUUAAUGUUGUAGAGACAAUAACAAAACAAAAGGAUGGCAUGUAUGUCUGGGGCACCUGCUGCUUGUUAACAUCUGUGCUGUUGUAGUGAGCAGUAGAUUGAAAAAAAAAAGGAGUGAGAGGUGAGAGAUGGGACUGGAGAGAUGAUUUUAGCCAGAUGGUAAAGGUCGUUUCAGUCAGCCUUUGCUAGCAAAUGCCUCAUCAUAGCUGGUUAUAAGGACAUUGGGCUACAGGAAGGAUCUCCCCCUAACAAAGAGUCUGGAAAUAGCUGUCAGUCUAUUUCCUAAUAAGUGUCCUUGAACAUCUGGGGCUCUUGUAAAUUAGAAAGUGGCUAUGCCUCACUCUUGUGAUGGUGUAUUAGGAAAUUUGGAAUUUUGCAUUUUUCUCUGUGCUACACAAAUGUGAACAUUUUGUAAUAUAAAACUAACUUCUGUGGCUGUGGGUAUAGCUUAGUACAAGUGUUUGCCUAACAUAUGCUAGACCCUAGGUUCUAUUCUCAGUAUAGCAAGAACCAAACUAAAUGAAAACAAAGAAGUCAAAGCAACUCCAUUGCAAAAAUGUAGCUUGACAGAGGAAAAAGCAACUAGAGAUGUUGGUUACUUUAAGAUUAAAGAAAUCUUAAUCUUAAAUAAGAAAAAGUAUUCUAGAUAUUUAUUCAUUACACAUAUUAUGACUAACCAUUAUAUUGUAGAGACUGUUAGGUGCUGCAGGUUAUUUAUUUAGACAUUAUUUCUUGUCUUUGGAGAAUUUAAUUAACAUUUAUUUGUUUAUUAUUUUAUGUGUAUGAAUAUUUUGUCUGCAUAUAUGUCUGUGUACCACAGGCAUGUCUGAUGCCUGCAGAAGCCAGAGGAGGACAUUCUCUGGAACUGGAGUUUUAGAUGCUCAUGAGCUGCCUUGUGGAUGUUGAGAAUUGAAUCUUGGUUCUAUGGAAGAACAGCCCGUGCUCUUACCUGCUGAACAGUUUUUCCAGCCCCCUCGGAGAGUUUAUUUUUGACAGAGGAAGAAAAGUAACAGAAGAGUAGGCAAUAAAUAAUUUUGUAUAGGGAUAUGUGCUUAAAAACAAAGCAAGGUUAUGGAAUAAUAAACCUAUCAGGAGCUAGUGGGAGAGGUAAUAUUAGAAAUGAGAGUCAGGGAAAGCCUUUUUGAGAGAUUGAUAUUUAAGCUAAGUCCCAGGUGAUGAGAAUUAACAAACCAGGAAGGGAUUGUCCUGGCCUGAAAGCACCAGCAAUGUAGAAAUCAUUUGUUGGGAACAAGCUUUGUGUUUGUGAAAACUGCAUAGCUUUAUUGGCAUUUGAUAUGCAAUGACCCUGUGUAGUAUAGAACUCUGCUGUGCAUUUUGGUUCUCUGUGGAAUGAUUAGGAUCCUGGCCCUGCCUACUAACAACCAGUGGCGGCACUUUUCCCAAGUCAAUGUAAUAAUAAAACACUGUCACAUAUUCUAAACAUACUUUUUCUGUUCUUCCAUGAGGCAGUACUGCCAUUCAUUGAGGACCUCAGAAGACUUCAGUCAUGACUGGAGUGGAAGGGGUGGAUACGGGAGGAAAUGAUAGUGAAUUAGACUGGAACUGAGCCCUGAGAUGUGUCUCCUAGGUGACUACAAAUCCAGUCAAGUUGACAUGAAUAUUGAGUAUCAUAGCAGGCUCUGUGGCCUUUUGGGAACCCAAGGUAACUGUAAUAUUCCACUAAUCUGUGAUUGCUGAAUUUUAUGUCUUUUUUGUCCUGUUCAACUUUGAAUUAUUAAAUACUAGAAUAACAUUCUGAUUAAUAAGAGGAGGAGAGAAAAGAGAGAUGUCGGGACCUUUGGGAUAGCAUUGAAAAUGUAAACGAGGAAAAUACCUAA